AUGAAACCCUUGGAAAGUUUUGUCCAACCAUAGCAAAAAUUCAACAAAAGAAAGGUUCGUCGGGGACCUCGAAUUCAUCUAUCGUCAAUGCGAAAGCGUGCAGCAAUGGUGGGGUCGACGAGUUGUGCUCCACACGCGCCAGCGUUUGUGACAACAGUGUUUUUACCUUCAAUUUCGACAUAAUGAAAGUCGGUAAGGGCGACAAUAAGAGCGAAGAUGAGAAUGAAAUUGGGAAAAUGAAUCUGAACAACGCCAUGAUAAAGGAGUUUGCAUUUUUUCCGGUAAGUGGAGGAACCAAGCAAGCUGCGAAGGCGGUUUUCUAGAAACUGCCUAUAGAGGCGUGGUUAUCUGAGGUGAAAUUUCCUUCAAAAUUAAGACCAUUGUUGAGCAAAGCGAUUGGGACAAAGGUGAACCUAUGGGUGUGCAUAAGAGUUGGCGGCAUCCGAAUACCUUUCACACCUAACUCAGGCUUUUGUUAACAACCGUUCUUUCAAAAACAACUACAAAGGCUUCAAGAGAUGGUGGCUCAAAGCAUUAUGAAGCAAUAGAAAGAUUCUUAUGAAGAGGAGAUCUUACCCUACAAUCCUUAAAGUUGGAAGGAAUGUGAGGGCCUCUUUUCCGGUAGCUGUCGAACCUACUGUCUCAUUGACUAAGAAAAGGUUUUUCAGCAUGAGGAUACUCUUUCUCGGAAGUCUGUAGAUUGGGAACCUGUUUUCCGUCACAUUUAUUCAAAAUCAAUUGGUAUGUGGAUUUAGUAGUUAGUACUGGUGGUGAUGGGGCAGUGUUUUGCAGUCCAGCAUAUAAUGGAUGAUUCUAUUCCUGUUCUAGGUGUGAAUUUUGAUCCCACGCAUGUUGAAGAGGAGGACCAUAAAAUGUUUCAAUAAUAUAUUGGUUGAACAAUGCCUCUUGAAUUCUGUCAAAGUGCGUGCUCACAUGGAAAGAUGACGCAAGAACUUUCACAAGAAAGGUCUUAACCAACCACAACAGCACACCCACCACAAGACAAAUGGAGAUCUUAGUUACAAUGCCAAAAACUUAACUAUUGGUCUCCCUCUCAACUUUUUUAUAAAGCAUGUAAUGCCAAGCAACCAACACAGGCCCCAACCAAAUACAAUUCUGAACUGAUUUUCUCAAUCUAUAAAAAAAUACAGAACCCGUUUUUGCAAAAGGAAAUUCCUCUCAAUGAAGAACACAACAAUCCUCACAAUCCAACGAAAUACCAACCUGCCACAUAUCAAAACCAAAAGCAACACCUCCCACUUCCAUAAUUCAAGCUUCAAAAACACCAAUAUUUAAGAAAUUUAGUCGUUAAACUACAAACUAAGUAACUAACGCUGCUAUAAUCAAAAUCAAACUAAGUCAUUCAAGCACAACCCGCAUACUAACUUUCUUCUUAUUAUCCUCUUCCAAGAAUUGAUCAUCCUCUUCAUCUUUAACAUUUCAACCAAUAAACCCACUUUUCAAUUGAGCUGAUCUCCCCACCACUCUCUUUGAUUUUUGCUCAACUUUAUCUUGUGGAUGGUCUAACAAGCUAGACUUAGUCUUCAUCAUCAACAAACUAGAGUUUCUAUUAAAGGACCCAUCCCUAUCAAACAACUGGUCGAAGUACACUUCAAAACCUCUCCUUUAGAAAUUUUCUUUGGGAAUCUUUAUAACUACUAUUAAAAUUAGAAUGCCUUCUUUUAGAAGACUCAAAACGAAACUUUAUAAUCUCUAUUAUGCAAAGUGAGCAACUCAUCUACAUCUAUGGUUGGUAAAGUUCGUUUUUCAUUAUGAUUAUGAAUAUAAAUAUUACCAUUAUUUUCACAAGUUGUUUCUUGUUGUUGAAGCUCAUUCAUGUCCAAGUCCAUAUCAAGAAUGAUCCAUUCUUGGAAGAGGAUUUGUCUGACGAGUAUAAAAAGGAAAAAGUUAGUAUGUGGGUUGUACUUGGAUUUGCUUGGUUUGAUAUUGAUUAUAGCAGCAUUAGUUUGUAGUUUAAAGUUUAAAUUUCUUAAGAAUAGCCGUUUGUGGAAGCUUUACUUAUGGAAAUUGGAGGCCUUGAUUUUGGUUUUGAUAUGUGGUAGGUUGGUGUCUAGUUGGAUUGUGAGGAUUGUCAUGUUUUUCGAGAGAAAUUUCUUUAUGCAAAAAUUGGUUUUGUAUUUUGUUUAUGGCUUGAGGAAGACGGUUCAGAAUUGUAUUUGGAUGGGGCUUGUGUUGAUUGUUUGGCAUUACUUGUUUAAUAAAAAGUUGAGAGGGAGACCAACUGGAAAUGGCUGCUUGUUUUGCUGGUGAGUCACUAGAGAUGUCAAAAGGGACCAGAAUUUGAACUAUUCUGUCUCAGUGGCCAUAUGUCUUCUUGAGGCCUUGGAGUUCCAGGAGAGCAAACCGGCCAAUCUGCAAAAUAUAAGUCAUUUGGUUUUGGAGAUUUUUAAGCAAAAAGGGGUUAUGUACAAGCAUCAAGAAGCAAAAAGUUCCAACUGCAUUUAGACAAAGAAAAUAAGGAAGUGCUUUCAAGAUUACGCUAAGUUGGUAUGUUCCUCAUGGAUUUUUAACUCUGUAUAAGAAAACGUUACCUUUUCCUAUAUGGUCUCUGCAUUACAUCAUGUUAGCUGCUGGGUUUGAGAGCAAAUCAGAUUCAUUUUUUGGGUAAAAGUUGUUUACUUGGUUGGAUUGCUGAUCAUUUCAUUGACUCAUCCUCACUCUUCAAUAGUCAAUUCAUCAUACAUUUUAUGCA